rnacentral:rRNA from 1 species
GACGAACGCUGGCGGCGUGCUUAACACAUGCAAGUCGAACGGAAAGGCCCUGCUUGCAGGGUACUCGAGUGGCGAACGGGUGAGUAACACGUGGGUGAUCUGCCCUGCACUUCGGGAUAAGCUUGGUAAACUGGGUCUAAUACCGGAUAGGAGCUAUCUUUAGUGUGGUGGUUGGAAAGUUUUUUCGGUGUAGGAUGAGCUCGCGGCCUAUCAGCUUGUUGGUGGGGUAAUGGCCUACCAAGGCGGCGACGGGUAGCCGGCCUGAGAGGGUGUACGGCCACAUUGGGACUGUGAUGCGGCCCAGAGUCCUACGGGAGGCAGCAGUGGGGAAUAUUGCACAAUGGGCGCAAGCCUGAUGCAGCGACGCCGCGUGGGGGAUGAAGGCCUUCGGGUUGUAAACUCCUUUCGCUAGGGAAGAAGCUUUUUUGUGACGGUACCUAGAUAAGAAGCACCGGCUAACUACGUG